AGAGUUGGCUGGACAGUCGCUGUGUUGGCACCGCAAGGCGUCGGCAGGGAGGAAAGUCCGGGCUCCAUAGGGCAGAGUGCCAGGUAAUACCUGGGAGGUGCGAGCCUACGGAAAGUGCAGCAGAAAAUAUACCGCCGAUGUUCAAUUAUAUUGAUGCAGGUAAGGGUGAAAUGGUGAGGUAAGAGCGCACCGCACAACUGGCAACAGUAGUGGCAUUGUAAACCCCACUCGGAGCAAGACCAAAUAGAAGUCCUUUGACGCGGCCCGCGUUGGACUCGGGUAGGUUGCUUGAGGUGCUUGGCGACAAACAUCCUAGAGGAAUGGUUGCUCUCGACAGAACCCGGCUUAUAGGCUAACUCUAAAU
rnacentral:RNase_P_RNA from 1 species